GACUGGACAGGCCUCUGGCUGGGUGGAGGACUCUCAGUUAGACUGGACAGGUCUCUGGCUGGGUGGAGGACUCUCAGUUAGACUGGACAGGCCUCUGGCUGGGUGGAGGACUCUCAGUUAGACUGGACAGGCUGGGUGGAGGACUCUCAGUUAGACUGGACAGGCUGGGUGGAGGACUCUCAGUUAGACUGGACAGGCUGGGUGGAGGACUCUCAGUUAGACUGGACAGGUCUCUGGCUGGGUGGAGGACUCUCAGUUAGACUGGACAGGUCUCUGGCUGGGUGGAGGACUCUCAGUUAGAC
ensembl:lncRNA